UAUGAUUAAUGUCCAGAUGUGCUAGAUCAG
rnacentral:piRNA from 1 species